AGUGAACGCUGGCGGUAGGCCUAACACAUGCAAGUCGAACGGCAGCACAGUAAGAGCUUGCUCUUACGGGUGGCGAGUGGCGGACGGGUGAGGAAUACAUCGGAAUCUACUUUUUCGUGGGGGAUAACGCAGGGAAACUUACGCUAAUACCGCAUACGACCUACGGGUGAAAGCAGGGGAUCUUCGGACCUUGCGCGAUUGAAUGAGCCGAUGUCGGAUUAGCUAGUUGGCGGGGUAAAGGCCCACCAAGGCGACGAUCCGUAGCUGGUCUGAGAGGAUGAUCGGCCACACUGGAACUGAGACACGGUCCAGACCCCUCCGGGAGGCACCAGUGGGGAAUAUUGGACAAGGGGCGCAAGCCUGACCCAGCCAUACCGCGGGGGUGAAAAAGGCCUUCGGGUUGUAAAGCCCUUUUGUGGGGAAAAAAAAGCAGCAGGUUAAUACCCCGCUGUUCUGACGGUACCCAAAGAAUAAGCACCGGCUAAUUUCGU
rnacentral:rRNA from 1 species